AUGGACCCUUCAUGGGCCUGUCAGCAGCUCCGGUGACGAUUCCUGUUCCUGCCGGACGCCGAGGCCCAGCUGGACCAUGAGGAAACCUCUACAGCUGUUGAGAAAAAGAGAAACCUCUUCCAAGACUUAAUAUCCAUUCUGGAUUCUGGAUUUUGGCAUCCAUUGUUGUGACCUAUUAUGCUGACUUCUUUAAAACUUUUAAAGAAAGCUUUCACACUAGCAGCUGGUUUCUCUGUGGCAGUGCCUUGUUGUUUGUUAGUUUAUCAAUUGUGUUUUACUGCAUAGUAUACCUUGAGUGGUAUCAUGGAAUUGGAGAAUAUGAUGUCAAGCAUCCAGCCCUGAUUCCCAUUACCACUGCUGCCUUUAUUGCAGCAGGAAUUUGCCUCAACAUUUUUUUAUGGCAUGUGUGGUCAUUUUUCACUACAUUGUUGUCGUUUACCCAGUUUAUGGGGGUUGUAAUGUUUAUCUCACUUUUUGGAUGAUUUCUGAAGAGACAGUGUUUUCUAUGUUGCCCAGACUGGCCUUGAACUCCUAGAAUCAAGUGAUCCUCCUGCCUCAACCUUCGAAGUAGUUGGGACUACAGGCCCAUGCCACUGUGCCUGACUGUACAUGUAAAUUUGAAGUGAAUGGUUAAACAUCCAGCUAGCUGAAAGCAUGGCAGACCCUAACAAAAAAGCUACACUGUGUUUUUGCAACUAUGAAGUGGUUUCCUGGGAAAAAUUGUGACUUUGUAUAACUGUUAUUGAAACCAGAAUAAAUUAUAUUUCAUUUGCAUAUUCUUAAAUUAUUAAACAUUUUAGAAGUCAGUGAUACAGAAAUACUAUUUUGCAAUGUUAAUCUGGUUGAUUCUUUGGAGAAAGUGGUUUCAUUAUAGGUGCAUAAUGCACUGUUAAUAUUUUUUUUUUUUUAAUUUUUUAUUGGAUCAUAGG